CAAUAGCGUAUAUUUAAGUUGUUGCAGUUAAAAAGCUCGUAGUUGGAUUUCGGAUGGGAUUUGCCGGUCCGUCGUUACGAUCUGCACUGGCCAGUCCUAUCUUGUUGUCGGGGACUAGCUCCUUGGAUUCACUUCCUGGGACUAGGAGCUGACGAGGUUACUUUGAGUAAAUUAGAGUGUUCAAAGCAAGCCUACGCUCUGAAUACAUUAGCAUGGAAUAACACGAUAGGACUCUGGCUUAUCUUGUUGGUCUGUGAGACCAGAGUAAUGAUUAAGAGGGACAGUCGGGGACAUUCGUAUUUCAUUGUCAGAGGUGAAAUUCUUGGAUUUAUGAAAGACGAACUUCUGCGAAAGCAUUUGUCAAGGAUGUUUUCAUUAA
rnacentral:rRNA from 1 species